AUUGAACGCUGGCGGCAUGCCUUACACAUGCAAGUCGAACGGCAGCACGGGAGCAAUCCUGGUGGCGAGUGGCGAACGGGUGAGUAAUAUAUCGGAACGUGCCCAGUAGUGGGGGAUAGCCCGGCGAAAGCCGGAUUAAUACCGCAUGAGACCUGAGGGUGAAAGCGGGGGAUCGCAAGACCUCGCGCUAUUGGAGCGGCCGAUAUCAGAUUAGCUAGUUGGUGGGGUAAAGGCCUACCAAGGCAACGAUCAGUAGUUGGUCUGAGAGGACGGCCAGCCACACUGGGACUGAGACACGGCCCAGACUCCUACGGGAGGCAGCAGUGGGGAAUUUUGGACAAUGGGCGCAAGCCUGAUCCAGCAAUGCCGCGUGAGUGAAGAAGGCC
rnacentral:rRNA from 1 species